rnacentral:piRNA from 1 species
UGAUUUGAAAAUCAUGGAGCGCUUC